GAUGAACGCUGGCGGCGUGCCUAAUACAUGCAAGUCGAGCGAACAGACGAGGCGCUUGCUCCUCUGACGUUAGCGGCGGACGGGUGAGUAACACGUGGAUCACCUACCUAUAAGACUGGGAUAACUUCGGGAAACCGGAGCUAAUACCGGAUAAUAUAUUGAACCGCAUGGUUCAAUAGUGAAAGACGGUUUUGCUGUCACUUCUAGAUGGAUCCGCGCCGCAUUAGCUAGUUGGUAAGGUAACGGCUUACCAAGGCAACGAUGCGUAGCCGACCUGAGAGGGGGAUCGGCCACACUGGAACUUAGACACGGUCCAGACUCCUACGGGAGGCAGCAGUAGGGAAUCUUCCGCAAUGGGCGAAAGCCUGACGGAGCAACGCCGCGUGAGUGAUGGAGGUCUUCGGAUCGUAAAACUCUGUUAUUAGGGAAGAACAAAUGUGUAAGUAACUAUGCACGUCUUGACGGUACCUAAUCAGAAAGCCACGGCUAACUACGUG
rnacentral:rRNA from 1 species